GACGAACGCUGGCGGCGUGCCUAAUGCAUGCAAGUCGCACGGGUCUCCUUCGGGAGGUCCGUGGCGAACGGCUGAGGAACACGUGGGGACCUAUCCUUCAGUGGGGGACAACACCGCGAAAGCGGUGCUAAUCCCGCAUACGCUCUGCGGAGGAAAGCGUGAGCAAUCACGCGCUGAAGAUUGGCCCUGCGGCCCAUCAGGUAGUUGGCGGGGUAACGGCCCACCAAGCCCGUGACGGGUCGCUGGUCUGUGAGGACGACCAGCCAGACUGGGACUGAGAUACGGCCCAGACUCCUACGGGAGGCAGCAGCAAGGAAUUGUCGGCAAUGGGCGCAAGCCUGACCGAGCAACGCCGCGUGCGGGAUGACGGCCUUCGGGUUGUAAACCGCUUUUGGGGGGGGAAGAAACAGACGGUACCCCCCGAAUCAGCCCCGGCUAACUCUGUG
rnacentral:rRNA from 1 species